rnacentral:tRNA from 1 species
GCCUGGGUGGCUCAGUUGGUUAAGCGCCUGACUUCAGCUCAGGUCAUGAUCUCACGGUUCGUGGGUUCGAGCCCCGUGUCAGGCU